UGGAGUAAUCAUGCCGUGUGUUUGUGCAGGCGAAGAAGGCGCUGCGAGCGCUCAAGGCGCUGGUGAAGCUGCAGGCGCUGGUGCGUGGCUUCCUCGUUCGCCGGCAGGCCGCCGCCACGCUGCAGAGCAUGCAGGCGCUCAUCGCGCGCAGGCCACCGUGCGCGCCCACUGCAUCGGCGCCGGCGCCGCCGCCCAUCUCCCUCACAUCCACCACGCUCCCUUUUGGCCCCGCCGCUCGCUGGUGCGCCACCGACGAUACGAGGAGCGAGCACGGCGUAGCGGCGUACAGCCGGCGGCUGUCGACGAGCAUCGAGUCGUCGUCGUACGGGUACGACCGGAGCCCCAAGAUCGUGGAGGUGGACAUUGGGAGGCCCAAGUCGCGGUCGUCGUCGUCGCGGCGGGCGAGAUCCCCACUGCUCGACGCCGGGUGCGCGAGCGGCGGCGAGGAGUGGUGCGCCAACUCCAUGUCGUCGCUGCUGCCGUGCUACCUCCCCGGCGGCGCUGCCGCACCGCCGCCCCGCAUCGCCGUCCCGACGUCACGCCACUUCCCGGACUACGACUGGUGCACGCUGGAGAAGGCCCGGCCGGCGACGGUGCAGAGCACGCCGCGCUACGCGCACGCGCCGCCGAAGCAGCGGCCGUAG
rnacentral:lncRNA from 2 species